UAGGCAGGUAUCUUCACAGUAGGGGGUACCUAGCCAUUAAAGCCGCCCGUUAAGGAGUCUACCUGCCAUGAUAAUGACUGCAAGAAAGGGGAAAUUUGCCUAAGAACCCUGUGACAGUUUGAAAUAUCCUUGUGUCUGUCAGGCUGCAGGGAAGAAUACGUUGCUUCACAGACAAAAACACAAAAGAAAAGGGGGAAAAUUGCCACGCAAGCAGUGACACUCUUGAGAAAGGCAAUGUUGAACCUAACCAGAGAGCUGCUUCAGAUUCCUGGAACUGGUUUCUGCUGCUGUGCCACUGUGAAUUUUAUGGAUCAUGAUCUGCUACCCUAAAAGGAGAAGAUGCCAAUGCUCCUGAUAAACAUACUGUCCUACCCAUCACCAUUAGGAACAAAAAACAGGCUCAACAGGGUAUUAACAAAGCUUGCAUAAAAUGG